rnacentral:lncRNA from 1 species
AGGUGGAGAUAGUGAUGGCAUUGGAGGAAAAAUUCAACAUAAGCGUGGAGGAAGCUGAUGCUCAGAACAUUACGACGAUUCAAGAGGCGGCUGAUUUGAUUGAGGAUCUUGUUCAGAAGAAACCUGCGGCCUAAGCUUCUUAAACUCUCCCGGCUUUCUUUUCCUUUAGACCUUUCUUGGUUUGAGAACAUUUAAUUAGACCGUAUGUCAUUUUGUUUUUCUUCUUCUUAGCGGUAUCUGCAGAUCCGCUGAUCCCAUUGUGGAGGUUAACAUGCAAUGUGUUGACCUGGAAAUCAUUAUUUGGAAGCUACAUUUCGAGGCAUUUCCUCAACAUAUAAAUAGACCAUAGACAGAGUUUGAUAUUUAUAAUACUUAGUGAUCAUGGAGUCUGCAGAAAACAGUCCUUUUGCAUAUUCUAUAUGGAACCAAGAGAUAUGUCCUUUGUUUGAUGAUUGUAUUAUGAUAGCUACUAACAUAGGAGAUGACUAGAGAAAGAGAAAUGAGUAUGAAACUCUUAUAUGGGUAGCUUUUGUAAACACAUUUGGGUUUAUUAACAGUUGUGACAAGCAAUUAUGUUUAUAGUAAAGGAAACCCGCCGCAGCGUCAAUAACAAAUGCGCCUGUUUUUUGGUUGUUUGGGAUUGAAAUAGCUUAUGGGUUUUCUAAAUCAAUAUAAUUGAUUUGACUAAAGCUAUCUUGGAUGACAAAAAGAAGGAUUGCAAGUUUAAUAACUUCUACUUUAGACUUUAAUUUCAACUAAAUUAUAAUCAGUCUUUUAUCCAUAUCAUCUUAGUUAUAAACGUAAGGAUUUAUUAGAAUAAAUAAACAGUUUCAACAAUAUUUAAUAUGUGAUUUAAUAAACAAAAGAACACGUAGGAUUUUUAGGAUUUAAAGAGAUUGGAGACAAUAGUUAAUGAAUAUGAAAAGAAUACGAAGCAGAUGAUGAAAAAUGAUUCAAGCAAAUUAGUGGCAACACAGAGCUAAGCGAGAUAAAAAUAUCAAUUAAUAAAGAGUGAAAGAAGAAUGAGCAGGGUUAAGUUAUUACACAAGCCAAAACUAAGACAAAUCAAACGACAGAACGUGAAAACAAAUGUAAACAAGGCAAGAGGGUAAAGAUAAAAUGCAUUGAAAAACUGAAUGCUAGAUUAGUAAGCAAAAGGCAAAAAGAGAUUAAAAUGCAAAAACUCUGCACCUUGGCGCGGGUAACGAUCCCUAGUAUCAACAAAUAGGUAACACAAAUAUAAAUUAUGUCCUUAUUUGGAUGGCCCAAGGAUUUUAUUUUUAGCUUCUAAAAAGAAUUUGUGAUCUUAGUUUUUUUCUUCACCAAAUCUGAUCUUAAUUGUUGUUAAUUAUUCCAUAACACCAACUACUAUUGAAAAACAAGUCUGUAAACAAAGAUGUGUUACCAAAUUUAAUGUAUUCAAAUAGAAAGUGCCCAUCUGUUUAGGCAGAGAUUCGAUCAUCCGACCUCCUCAAAUAUCUUGUUUCGCAAUCUCACCCACAUGCUAUUUUCCUUUAAAUUAUCUGCCUCUGUCCAUCUCUUCUUUUCCAACCCACUUACUCUUCUCCUUCUCUUGUCUUCGUUGAAUUUUGGGAUCUUACACCACAGCAAAUAACAACACCGCCAACUAUAUAUUUGUCCUAUUUGUCCUUUUGGUUUUGAUCUUUGUAACAAUCAAUAAGGAAAGUUAAAGCUUGAAUCUGAAUAAUAAUAAUGGGAGACAAUGGAGGGAAAAGAACGCCGUCAAUGAAUCUUGCGGUUCAAGUGUCGAUGAGAGUGUUAGCCAUUGGCACCGCAUUGGCCUCCAUGGGGCUCAUGAUUACUAACCAUGAAGUUGCCUCUGUUUAUGGCAUUGCUUUUGAGGCUAAAUACAGCGACUCAUCAGCCUUUAGGUAUUCUCUAUUGCUCAUUUCAUCAAGGUGCUCUAACUAGUGAGAUAAUGAUGACGAAAUUACGCAACAUCAUCUCGAUGAAAUUUCACUAUUUCACAUUUAAAAGUACAUAUGGAGAAAUAAUUCAGAAAUUUUGGUAGGAAAAAAAUUGCAAAAAGGGAGAAAUAUUUUUUUGUAACUUAAAAAAGGGGGAAAUAUCCUCUAUUAUGACGUAGAAAUAUAUGCAAAAUAAAUUCAUUCUUGAAUUUUUUUUAUGUCUCAUUCAUAUGACGUUUAUCUUUUAUACCAGUGAUUUGUCUCGUGUUUAAUAGUAGCCAAAACGGACAAUCCUAAACCGUGUAGCCAAAAUCAUCACUAUGAGCAAAUACAAAACUGAUUGUUAAUUACAAUAAAUAUCGAGUAAAACAAUUAAAAGAUGGAGUGAUGACGACAUGCAUGCAAUGAAAGUUCGUAAACUUUGAUAUGUUUCGCAGGUAUUUGGUGUACGCGGAUAUAGCUAUCUCCGCCUUGACAUUGUUCACGCUCGUAUGGGCUUGUUUAGCUGUCCGUAAACGUGGACUUGUUUUUGUACUCUUCUUUUUUGAUUUGGUAAUUACCAUCCAAUUUUUCAAUCUGAAUAUUUGAUACGGAAAUUAGACAUCUGAACGUACGUUUUGAAAUGGGUCUGGAAAUAUUGUAUAGCUUGCGACGUUGACGGCGAUGUCGGCUUUCUCUGCGGCCACAUCGGAGGGAUACAUUGGAAAGUACGGUAACACACACGCCGGUUGGCUUCCGAUCUGCGGUUAUGUACAUGGUUACUGCAAUCGUGGGACUCUCUCACUCGCUUUUUCCUUUGCCUCUUUUCUCCUCUUGUUCAUCCUUACUGUCCUAACUGCCUCCGCUGCUCGUCAUCACUGAAACUAUUUUCUUUACAUUUUAUAUUAUUCAAUUUCUAAUAUUCUUAAGAUUCUUCAAUCUUUCUUAUAUACUUAGAUUUUCUAAGAUGAAUGAUUACAGAAAGAAAUUGUAUUGAGUUGAGUCCGUGUAUUAUAUAACUAUUUGUUUUUAUUUUAUUUUACUUUACUAUGAUACUCCACUCCCCAUAUAAGUUUUUUUACAUAAAUUUUGAGAAUUCAAAAGAUAUAUUAACCAGGCGCUCGUGGCUUAGUGGUAAAAAUCUCACGGUUGUGAGUUCCGGCACCUAGGUUCGAGUCUUGGCCACGGUCAAUUAAAAUGGAGUGAAUUAUUUUUCCUAGCUCUCCAGCUCAGCUCCGAUGGACGGUCGAUAAUCAGGUUUAUUUGUAAUCAGGUUUAUUUUGAGGACAUCCGGAUACCGGAAUAAGAAGAAAAAAAGAAAGAUAUAUUCCCGAAAAACAUUAUCAUCUAUGGAUCGAUCUCUCCUUUGAAAAUCUAAACAUGGUGCGGACAAGAACCAAUAAGGGCCCGUUGAAGUAACUUGCAUUUUGGUUUGGGCCUGUCUUAGUUGCAAAACGUGACAAAACUCACUUGACAAAUGUGGGACCCAUAGCAACAUGUGCCGAAGAUAGGCAUGAAUCCGCAAGAACAAACCUAGGCCACAAAACAAGAGAAUUGUGCUUUUGCGUCUCUUAAGACGACGCCGUAUCCACGUCCACCACUGCAUCAAAAACAAUUCUCUUCUUAAGAGAUUACACCUUAUCCAACUUGAGUUUGCAAUAGGAGAAGCCAUUGUUUUCCGUAUCUUAGACCUGUAUACUGAGCUUCAUCUCUUUCAAUGGCUUCCUUGUCAGCCACUUCUCUAAGCUUCAAAGCUCCCUCCACACGAUCAACCAGAAUCUCUCAGGUGACUUUACAUAUACACAUCUACCGUUUGUCAUUUCACUUAAUAAUAGAUACUUGACCCCAUCUUCAGUUUUGUUUGUAAUAAUAUUCAAAAUCAUAAUAUAACGCAAUUAGCUUAAUCAUCAGGUGUUAAGGAAAGCCUCGACUUUUCAGUCUAUCUCCUUUGGUCGUUUCCAGUCUUCGAAGAGCCUUCGUCUUCAAAUCAGUUGUGCAGUAAGCAAGACAAUUGUUUGAAGCUAAAGUUGAAUAUUUAUGAUAAAAUGUAAUAAGUUGAUUUGUAACAUGUGAGCAUGGUUACAUUCAGGCAAAACCAGAGACAGUACAGAAAGUUAGUGACAUUGUGAAGGAACAGUUAGCUUUAUCCGCUGACACUGCGCUCACUUCUGAGUCCAAAUUCUCUGCUCUUGGCGCAGAUUCUCUUGACACGGUAUGUUAUAAUACUCUCUCUCUCUGUUUCGUAUUUAAAUGUGAUGUUACAAAUAUGUUAGUCAUUAGUAACGUUGGGUGAAUAUGGAUGCAGGUGGAGAUAGUGAUGGCAUUGGAGGAAAAAUUCAACAUAAGCGUGGAGGAAGCUGAUGCUCAGAACAUUACGACGAUUCAAGAGGCGGCUGAUUUGAUUGAGGAUCUUGUUCAGAAGAAACCUGCGGCCUAAGCUUCUUAAACUCUCCCGGCUUUCUUUUCCUUUAGACCUUUCUUGGUUUGAGAACAUUUAAUUAGACCGUAUGUCAUUUUGUUUUUCUUCUUCUGGAAGUUGAGAUUGGAUAUUGACUAUGAGAAAACUUUGAUUGGUACGUUGAGAUUGAUUCAUUGGCAAUGAUUGGUCUUUUAUGAC